rnacentral:rRNA from 1 species
UACCAAACUGUUGCCUCGGCGGGAUCUCUGCCCCGGGUGCGUCGCAGCCCCGGACCAAGGCGCCCGCCGGAGGACCAACCAAAACUCUUAUUGUAUACCCCCUCGCGGGUUUUUUACUAUCUGAGCCAUCUCGGCGCCCCUCGUGGGCGUUUCGAAAAUGAAUCAAAACUUUCAACAACGGAUCUCUUGGUUCUGGCAUCGAUGAAGAACGCAGCGAAAUGCGAUAAGUAAUGUGAAUUGCAGAAUUCAGUGAAUCAUCGAAUCUUUGAACGCACAUUGCGCCCGCCAGUAUUCUGGCGGGCAUGCCUGUCCGAGCGUCAUUUCAACCCUCGAACCCCUCCGGGGGGUCGGCGUUGGGGAUCGGCCCUUUACGGGGCCGGCCCCGAAAUACAGUGGCGGUCUCGCCGCAGCCUCUCCUGCGCAGUAGUUUGCACACUCGCAUCGGGAGCGCGGCGCGUCCACAGCCGUUAAACACCCCCAACUUCUGAAAUGUUGACCUC